UACGGAGGGUGCAAGCGUUAAUCGGAAUUACUGGGCGUAAAGCGCACGCAGGUGGCUGAGAAAGUCGAUUGUGAAAGCCCUGGGCUUAACCUGGGAAUUGCAGUCGAAACUACUCGGCUAGAGUAUGGGAGAGGGUAGUGGAAUUCCCAGUGUAGAGGUGAAAUUCGUAGAUAUUGGGAAGAACACCGGUGGCGAAGGCGGCUCACUGGCUCAUUACUGACGCUCAGGCGCGAUAGCGUGGGGAUCAAACAGG
rnacentral:rRNA from 1 species